CAAAACAUACACUAAAAAUAAAUAAAAGGAGAAACUUCAUAUUUGAAGUUUCAAUAAUGCUCUGAAUCAAGACCAGAUUAUCUGACUAUGGACUUUCCGAGGCAAAGAUAAACUUCAUAUUUGAAGUGACCAUUAACCCAUGCAAGAGUUUCAAGGCCACAUGACAUGACUGCUGAUCCAUAAAGUAAUGAACUUAAACCAUCUCUACCAUGGUUUGUGGAUCCAGCCCACACUCUCAUCCGAAUAAAAAUUAGCGGAGCCAGACCCAAAACCCGCACUCUUUGAGAGACUGUCAGAAUUCACAGAAUCAACCGGACUCGUAUAUAACUUACCAGGUUUAUACUCAAAAGAAUGGGAAAGAUGUAUUCUACAAGUCAGACCUCAAGAUUUAGAUAAAAGCCAAAUAUCUCUAAGCAAAAUAGUUAAAGGAUUUCUAGAACUAGAAUUAAAUUUAAAACCCUUCUUUCGAUCAGAAAAGACUAUGAUUAGCAUAUAUAAAAAAAUUUAAAACUUUGGCAUGCACCACUGGAAGAGCAAAAUGGGCAAACCUUUUGGAAGCAUCACAUAUAUAUGCAUUUGUUUGCCAUCAAAUUGUACAUUGUUGGGCUUCUCCAUGGCUGCUAAAGCAUCUGCCUGCAUAAAAAGAACAACUUAAAACAACUUCAGCCAUUCCUUGAAUCACCAAAAAUUCAGUUAAGUGAAACACAUAACUAGAGAAACAUGACCAAGCUAAAUGAAGUACCUUGGAUCUUCCACUUCCGUCAUAAUUAAUCAAGGCUUCAGAUCACUAACCUAUACAAAAAGCUCCUGGACCAGUUGAAAGCUAAUUUUAGACAGCCACAACAAGAGAAAAGACUUCCUAUUGUAUGGAGAUAACAGAAAGCCAACAUAAGAUAAUAUCUAGGCAUAUCCAAAAAUGUGAAAUCAUAUGUAAAAAAUGUGUAACUAAAACAAGACAACUUGUAUGUUUCGGAAUUGUCCACUCUUCAAAUAUGAUCUACAACAGCUUUGAAUUCUGGUUAGCGACCAUAUACGCCACAAGAAAUAAUUUGUCAGAAAAGCAGGGCAUGUCAUUUCAAGAUGAAUAUUCACUUUAAUGAAAAAUUGAAUUCUGGUUAGUGGCCAUAUAUGCCACAAGAAAUCUUGAUACUCUAUUUCUUUUUCUUGAAAGAGAGCUAACUGUACAGUGCCAACUAUCAAUCUCUUGUAUUGCAUAAUUAUCAUUAUUAUUUUUAUAAUGGUUUAUAUUAUUUUGUUAAGCAUGGAGAGCCUAUCAAAGAAAUCAAUAUCCAACAAACAUAAGCUUUAAUAUUGUGGGUAUUCAAGGAUAACACAUUUCCCAUGGAAGUCAAUCAUGAGGCUUGGGAGAUGUUUUGAGGAGGUUACAUGUGACAAAUCCUUAGACAUUUCACCUCUCUAUGUCUCCAAAGAAUAAAAGAGAAACUAAUUCAAUGUAAUCACUUCCUCCAAGUAUUGCUAAAGAAGCAUACAAACCUGAAGAGUUAUCUUAAAAUAUGCUUCAAGAAUCUGAAUGAUAGGUCCAUGAAUCACUGUAUGCAAAUAGAAUAACAGAAAAGGUGAAAUGAAACACUAUGGUUUAAAAAACCAUAUAAUUCUAAUCCAGAUGGACCCAUCCCUGAGUUGCCAAUUCAGGGUCCUAUAUCAACUUUACCAAUAAAGCAUGCCACAGUGUUCCUUGAUCUGGUGUUAGUCAUGGAUGGACAAAUGGGGAUUCAACCACUACAAUUUCCAGUCGGCCAAAUCCGUUGUCCGCUAGUCAGCAAAGAGGAGAAUGCUUGAUUGUCAUGUUUAUUUACUAAUUCUAAACUUUGAGUUAUGUUAUUUUUAAGUGAUCUUUUACCAAAAUCUUGUUUUCCUCAUUUUUUUCCUUUUUUUCUUUUUAGCCAAAAUUCUGAUCACCUGAUCGGUCUUGACUAACCCAGCGAAUCUCAAGAUUCUAAACCACACCAUCCACAGAAAGUCCUACUGUGUGAUCUCAACAAUGAAUUUCCAGAAACAAUAAAUAACAUCUAUUCCAUAUUCUUGUAUCUUGAAGUUGAGGGGGAAGCCAUUUUGUGUAACUGAACUACUGUCCCAUUUUUUUCCAUCGACAUAUUUCUUGAUUCUACUGCUAUUUGUUGGGUAAGCUUUCAAAUGACAUCUUACAAACUGGCAUUAAAGAAGUUAUUGCUGUAACACUUCGUUUAUCUAUCAAAGACAUGAGCUACAACGAUCCAGAUCUAUGACAAGCAGUGCAACCAAAAAAGAUUUAGAAAACCGAUCAAAAGACAAUAGAUAAUUCUUUUUUUAUGCAGUCUAACAAGAAAAUAAUAACGAUCAAACUGAAGGAAAUUAUAUUGGAAGAGAGAUAGAAAAGGCAAGAAAGAUUGCCUUCAUGGAAAACCGUAGCCGCUGCAGCCGUAUAAGCACUGAACCGCGGAUCCAAGUGAAGAGGUUUCGAUCGUAUGGGUGGUGGAGGACGAGAGUCACGUCCCAUCGAGUAUGGGGGAGACCGAUUCCCCAAACGGACGGGUAAGAAUCCGACGGAUUUCCCUCCACGAAAACUCUUACCGGCACCGGACUUCUUUCUUGUUCUUGAUGUUGCUGUCGAGGGACAUGUCCAAGGCCAUGAUCAUCGUCUGUGAAUCUACGCGGCUACGAUAGGGCGGGGAACGGCGUAUCAGCGAGGAUUCUUGGAGUCGAGAGGGUGCUGAUCGAUCAAGAGAGUUAUCCAGCAGCGGAGGAGGAGGAUGAUGAUAGGGCAGGGAUCGACGUCUAAGGGAGGAUUCUUGGGGUCGAGAGUUAGUUGGUUCUCAAGAGAAGUUCGCCGGAAGCAGCGGCGGGUGAAGGAGGACGAUGAUAGUGACGCUAUCGGCAAAUGAGGAAAAAUUCUUGGGUCGACAAGUAGCUGGUACGAUGAGUAGAAAUUCACCGGAAGAAGCGGAAGAGGAGGACGAUUAUAGGGUGGGGACAGGUGUCCGAGGGAGGAUUCUUGGUGUCGGGAGGUAGUUGGUUCGGACAAGAGAAGAUCGGCGGUGGCGGAGGAGGAGGACGAUGAUAGAGCCGGAUCGGCUUGUGAGGUAGGAUACUUGGGGUCAACGAGCAGCUGGUUCGAUGAAGAGAAGUUCACCGACUGCAGAGGCGACGGUGGCGGAGGAGGAUGAUGAUAGGGCAGGGAUCGGCAUGAGGGGAAGGAAUUCUUGGGGUGGAAAGGUAGUUCGAUCAAGAGAAGCCUCUUUGCCCGUCCCCUUGGGGGAUUUGUGAUAG
rnacentral:lncRNA from 1 species